ACCCCAAAAACCAAAAAAGCCAAAACUCUCCAACCUCAUUGGGCCUAGAUACAUGCUAUAAGUAGCUUUUGUGACUUUUCAGCCCUUUGCCAUUAUGAAAGAUACUGAAGGCAUGGAAAAGCAUAUACAUUAUUAUUAGCUGACACCAGUCUCAAGCAUUCGGAAUACUGAUAAAAGAGCUUGUGAAGUAAUUAACCAAAGUUUUUUUUCAGACUAUAUAUAUGUGUGUGUGUGUGUGUGUGUGUGUGUGUGUGUGUGUGUAUAGUAAGUUAAAGAAGGAAGCUGUUUGCAUAUUAAUCUGAAAUAAAAAUGUAUAGGAUGUUCUUAUAGUGGAGAGGGCAGGCAUACUCUGGGUCCUGAUUCUUUUUUAAACAACAUUAAUAAGGAGUCACAGUUGAAAGCAUCUUUGAGACAGGCCAGCAGUACUGAGAGUUUCUUUGCAGAGGCAUUGAAAACCAAAUAGAAAAAACGAGACCACCUCUAACUAUGGCCCUGUCACUUGUCUGGGAAACGCUGAAUCUUUAGUGACAGUCUUCAAGCUUCCAUAUGUACCUGGAGCUAGGAAACUGGGAUGAACAUAGAAGCUAAUGGCAGUUGGAAGAAAUAUGUUUUUUUUGUGGAUAUUCAUCCUAGAGGAUUAGACAUUAGAUUUCUACUCUGCUAGAAUAAUUUUAAUUCAUAAGCCUUCUAGUAAGAGAUAGAAAGAUGAAUAUUGCCCAGUGACCAUGAAUCUGUCUGCUUUCAUCAGAGCAUUCACAGUCUUGAGGCACCUAACACUUAGGUAAAGCCAACUAAGAAAAUAUAUUCUCAACUUCCUGGCACUCUUAUGAAUUUCUCAUCUAUUUAAAAACACUGAUAUAUAAUCUGACUAUCUGAGAGCUGAUUUUUACAUACAUUUAAGUUGUUGAUUGACUUGAGCCUCUGAGGGACUCUUUUGCUCAGUUUUGAUUGAGCGCUUCUCCUCCUCCAUAGAACUCCUUAGCUAGCACAUUUGAAGUGUUCAUUCCCAGGAGAAAGAUAACGCCAAAUGUGUUAACUCCUUGUCUCUGUGUUAACUAAGAUCUUCAGGGUUUGGCUUUCAAAGCUUCAGUGUUUCUAAGCAUCAAAUAAAAUGUAGAGCAUAUUCUCAAGUCAUGCUUUUCAGGUUCCUUUUAAAAUUUAUGUAUUUUCUUAUAGUUAUUUUUUAUUAGAUAUUUUCUUUAUUUACAUGUCAUAUGAUUUCUCCUUUCCCAGUUUCCCCUCCAAAAAACAAACAAACAAACAAAAACAACAAUGGGCAAAAUGAUCCAGAAGGUCAUGGGAUAAAGGAUAAGAAAACAAACAAGAUGAAAACAUUUUAAGGCAACUCCACAUACAUGUUCAAGCUUUGACCAUCUCGAUUUCCUUUAUGGUGAUGGUUGUAAGUCUAAUAAAUACCAGCUUCUAUUUGAAAGGAGCCCCAUGGGAUCAAGCUCCUCCAGCAAGGAUAAGAGAUUUGUGAUAGAAAGAAGAAAACAGAAUAAACUCUCCCCCAUAAUAUCUUGUCAUCCCACUUCAUACCAUGUUCAUGUCCCACUCUAACGGAUGCCUGUUAAUAAACAAGAUGCUUACUUACCUCAUAGUGGUCCAUUUCACAGUUCAUUCUGUGAUGGUCUAACUUGGCUAUACUUCCUCAUGGCAUGGAUAGCAAAUAUGGGAACUUGUCUGAAAGCAAGUAGUUCUAGCUCAAGUCAAUUUCAGAGUAGAAUAAUCAAGGCACAGUACUCUCAUAACAUCGCCAUGGAGAUCACUCAUAAUGUCACCUUAGAGAUAUCUUCUGAAGUCACACCCUAUCUAUCACCUAAGGACUUCCUACCAGCACCCAUCUCUUCAGAAUUCUAGCACUUCCCAGUACUUCUUCAUUUGGAGUCCUUAAAGGGAUCAUUCUACUUUGUGACACUGAACAUAGUCCUUAAUAAUACAUUUCUAUCCACAUGCGUAUAUACAUAGCAAAGAUAGACAAACCUCCAGUGUAAUACAAGAAUACAAAGGAUUUCUAGAAUGGCAACACAUGUGGACUCUAAAUUAAACAGACUUGCUUCUGCCAAUCCUUAGUCAUGUGAUCUUGAAUAAAUGACAUAUGGAACCAUCAUUUUUCAUCAGUAUGUUGGAGACAAUAAGAUAUUGUCAAGUUGAAGAUUUAAGUCAGGAUUAUUGAUUAAUUCUAACUCAGUAUUUGGUACAAAAGUUGAAACACAAUAAACAUUCAAUAGCAGGA